AUGCACCUCGGAGACAGGGAUUAUGAUCAUGGUUGCAUCGAGGAAUGCAGAGGAGAAGACUCAGUCAUUCAGCCACCAGGAGAUGUGAUCGCUACUGAGGGAGAACAGGUCACACUGGACUGUCAAUUUGAUGCAGUUAGUAUGAACAAUAUCUACCUGUUCUGGUACAAGCUUGAAGUGAAUGACUUCCCAGAGUUCAUGUUGGGCCGUUUUCCUUUUGGAAGUAAAAAUGCCACUGAGUUCAAGGAUAGAUUUGAUGCCCAUCUCGAUGCAGACUCCAAGUCAGUCCCCUUGACGAUCCAGAGGGUGCAGCUGUCUGACUCUGCUGUGUACUACUGUGCUCUGAGGCCCACUGUGACAACAGGAUAUACAGCCUCAUUACAAAAACUAUUUGAUUGUGUGAUGUAA